GGGGGGGGGGGGGGGGGGGGGGGGGGGGGGGGGGUGGGGGGGAGGGGGGGGGGGUGGGCCUGGAGUGGGCGGCGGGCGGGUGGGGGCUGCGUAGGGAUCUGGCUUGUAGUGGGGGAUGACGGCGGGGAACGGGCGCUAAUAGCGCAUCCGUCCUGAGGGCGAACGUGGGGUCUCUGCGGACCGCACGCUAUCAGAUUAGCCUAGGUCGGAUUAGCUAGUUGUGCGGGUAAAGGCUUACCACGGCGACGAUCCGUAACUGGUCUGAGCGGGUGAUCAGUAACACGGGAAAGGAGACACGGUCCAGACUCAUACGGGAGGCAGCAGUGGGGAAUAUUGGACAAUGGGCGAAAGCCUGAUCAAGCCAUGCCGCGUGGGGGAAGAAGGUCUUCGGAUUGUAAAGCACUUUAAGUUGGGAGGAAGGGCAGUAAGUUAAUACCUUGCUGUUUUGACGUGACCAACAGAAUAAGCACCGGCUAACUUCGUG
rnacentral:rRNA from 1 species